rnacentral:lncRNA from 1 species
GAAGAACUUCGACGUAGCGUACAACAGACUCGAAGGAGUGAUCCCCGAAGAGCUCGGAGGGAUGAAGGAACUUUCCAUCUUCCAUCUAGCCAGCAACAAACUCACAGGUAAGUUUCCUCGGUGGCUCGCGGAGCACGACAAUGUCUCGCUUAUCACCUUGAAUAGCAACUCCCUCACUGGAGAACUCCCUCCAGACUUUGGAAGCAGAACAGCACUCCGGAGCGUCGAUCUAUCCCAGAAUCAUUUCACUGGAAAACUUCCGCCAGCUCUUUGUCAGAAUGGAAGCUUGAAGUACCUUGCCGCACGAAACAAUCAGUUCUCGGGAGAUCUGCCAGUGCAACUCCAGCAGUGUCGGAACUUGGACAGGCUCCGUCUUGACGACAACUUCCUCACAGGCAGCGUCCACUUUUCCCAGUCGAAUGUCCACACCAUCACCCUCGCUCAUAAUCGUUUCAACGGGAGCCUCUCCAUGCGAGACAUGCCGAUGCUGAACCUCUUGGAC